rnacentral:misc_RNA from 1 species
UGCGGCUGGAUCCCCUCCUUAAAUAAAGGCACCAAGAGAAUCAAAGUGCCCACACAGUUUGUUUUCAGUCAGAGCCGCGACCGUAAGGGAGCGGACAUGAAGAGUAAAGCAAAAUUUGCGAAGAUUAUUGUUUUAAUCGAGGCAUGAGCGCGAAAGAGAGAAGGAGCAUACAUCAGUAUGCGACUGAAGGAGAGAGUGCUCAUAACGAAGAGUAAAACAAAAAGCUGAAGUAAAUUUAGGGGUCGUAGCUCAGCUGGGAGAGCACCUGCCUUGCACGCAGGGGGUCAGGAGUUCGAUCCUCCUCGGCUCCACCAAAUACACUCUUCAAGGACUAAUCAGAUUAAAAGGCUUUAAAAUAAAGAGUUUUUUAAUCUGGCUAGACCAGGCGCGUUCAUUAAAAAUUAGGUAAGAAAUGAGGUAACACAAGCGAGCUCGUAUUUGAUAUUUGUGAGAACAGUAUGACUUUGAGUUAAUUGAGGUUAUAUGGUCAAGAAGAGAAGCGCAAACGGUGGAUGCCUAGGCAGUAAGAGGCGAAGAAGGACGUGGAAUUCUGCGAAAAGCUUUGGGGAGCUGAAAACAUGCUAUGAUCCAAAGAUGUCCGAAUGGGGGAAACCCGG